CGGGUGCCACCCCAACAUUUUAUUCGCUACUGACAGUUUGAUGCUGAUUGCCAUCCCAUUUCACCUCUUGUUGAAAGAAGCACUUAUUUUGACAUUCGGCGGUGCAUUUUUAUAAUCGAGGAAGAGAGAAUAUUCGUUGGUUGCGAGAUACAGAAGAAUAAGAAGAACAUACAGAAGAAGAAGAGAGAAUAUUUCCACAGCUCCAUGAGCUCUUUUCACGCUUGGCGAAAGCAUGAUAUAGUGAAAUGUAUCAAGGGAUGACACAGAGACCUCUGGUUCUGAGCAAGACAGUGAGCCAGAGCUGCCAGGAGAUGUCAUCGAGCCCCCCCAACUGCAUCAAGCACCAGAUAUGCUGUUCCAAAAGGACCCAAUGUCCUCCCGGUUCUGACCUCUUGCCUGCCCUGACACUAAGCCUGCCUGCCUGACCAUUCAGCCUGCCCUGACCUCGAGCCCGCCUGCCGCCCUGUCACGUCCUGACCAUGGUAAGCUGUUAUUUUCUAUGUUAGGGCGUGACAGGGGGGUUUAUUGUAUGUGUUCUAUUUCUAUGUUCUUAGGUUCUAGUUUUUGUAUUUCUAUGUUGGAUUGUUUGGGAUGAUCUCCAAUUAGAGGCAGCUGGUCCUCGUUGUCUCUAAUUGGAGAUCAUACUUAAGUAGGGGUUUUUCUUCCUGGGUUUUGUGGGUG
rnacentral:lncRNA from 1 species